GGACAUGAGGGCAUCUGCCUGCAACAUCUGUCAUCCCAUUGAUCACUAGGGUUGGUCAGCUGAUCCAACCAACUAGUCUAAGUGCCUUCUUCCUCACCACUUCAUGUGCAAUCCCAUCUCAGCUUGGAAGUUGGGUCAAAGGAUAAUCUUCCUUGGUAGAGAGGAAAUGUUCUUUGGUCAAGGGUAUAGAAGUAGCUGCACUCUCCUGCUGGAAUUUCCAAACAAGCUCUCAAGAAUGUAACUUUGGCCAGGCGCCGAUGGCUCACGCCUGUAAUCCUAGCUGCUCAGAAGGCCGAGAUCUGAGGAUCGUGGUUC
ensembl:misc_RNA 7SK 7SK RNA